rnacentral:rRNA from 1 species
GACGAACGCUGGCGGCGUGCUUAACACAUGCAAGUCGAACGGAAAGGCCUGCUUUCCCUUGUGGAUUGCGGGUGCUCGAGUGGCGAACGGGUGAGUAACACGUGAGUGAUCUGCCCCCAACUUGGGUUUAAGCCUGGGAAACUGGGUCUAAUUCCCGAUAGGACUGCAGGGUGGUGCCUGUGGUGGAAAACGAUUUUCUAGUGGUUGGGGAUGAGCUCGCGGCCUAUCAGCUUGUUGGUGGGGUAAUGGCCUACCAAGGCGGCGACGGGUAGCCGGCCUGAGAGGGUGGACGGCCACAUUGGGACUGAGAUACGGCCCAGACUCCUACGGGAGGCAGCAGUGGGGAAUAUUGCACAAUGGGCGGAAGCCUGAUGCAGCGACGCCGCGUGGGGGAUGACGGCCUUCGGGUUGUAAACUCCUUUCGACCGCGAGGAAGCCACCUGGUUGGAAGGGUGGUGACGGUAGUGGUAGAAGAAGCACCGGCUAACUACGUG